AGGGAAUAUGGGGCAAUGGGCGCAAGCCUGACCCAGCCAUGCCGCGUGAAGGACGAAGGUGCUCAGCAUUGUAAACUUCUUUUCUCCGAGAAUAAGGCAACGGUAACUCCGUUGAUUGCAGGUAUCGGAGGAAUAAGCACCGGCAAACUACGUGCCAGCAGCCGCGGUAAUACGUAGGGUGCAAGCGUUGUCCGGAUUACUGGGUUUAAAGGGUGCGUAGGCGGUCUGAUAAGUCGGUGAGGAAAUGCAGGAGCUCAACUCCUCGCGCUGUUACCGAUACUGUCGGACUUGAGGAUGAGUGAGGCAGCCGGAAUGAGUGGUGUAGCGGUGAAAUGCGUAGAGAUCACUCAGAACACCAAUUGCGAAGGCAGGUUGCUGACUCAUAUCUGACGCUGAGGCACGAAAGCGUGGGGAUCAAAC
rnacentral:rRNA from 1 species